UGGGGAAUAUUGCACAAUGGACGGAAGUCUGAUGCAGCAACGCCGCGUGCGGGAUGACGGCCUUCGGGUUGUAAACCGCUUUUUCUCAUGACGAAGUUUUUUGACGGUAGUGGGGGAAGAAGCACCGGCUAACUACGUGCCAGCAGCCGCGGUGAUACGUAGGGUGCGAGCGUUGUCCGGAAUUAUUGGGCGUAAAGAGCUUGUAGGCGGUUUGUCGCGUCGAUAGUGCAAACUCAGUGCUUAACGCUGAGCCUGCUGUUGAUACGGGCAGACUAGAGGAAGGUAGGGGAGAAUGGAAUUCCCGGUGGAGCGGUGGAAUGCGCGGAUAUCGGGAGGAACACCGGUGGCGAAGGCGGUUCUCUGGGCCUUUCCUGACGCUGAGAAGCGAAAGCGUGGGGAGCGAACAGG
rnacentral:rRNA from 1 species